rnacentral:rRNA from 1 species
UACGCUGGCGGCUGCUCACACAUGCAAGUUGAACGGGUUUAAGUUUAUUAAACUUAAACAAGUAGCGGACGGGUGAGUAACGCGUAAGAACCUACCUUUAGGUAAGGAAUAACUAUUGGAAACGAUAGAUAAUACCUUAUAAGCUUAUAGUAAAAGAUAAAAUCGCCUAAGGAUGGGCUUGCGUCUGAUUAGCUUGUUGGUGAUAUAAAAGAUUCACCAAAGCAACGAUCAGUAGUUGGUCUAAGAAGAUGAUCAACCACACUGGGACUGAGACACGGCCCAGACCUCUACAGAGGGCAGCAGUGAGGAAUUUUCCGCAAUGGGCGAAAGCCUGACGGAGCAAUGCCGCGUGGAGGAUGAAAGCUUGUGAGUCGUAAACUCCUCUUUCUUAGUGAAGAAAUAAGACGGGAUCUAAGGAAUAAGCAUCGGCUAACUCCGUGCCAGCAGCCGCGGUAAUACGGAGGAUGCAAGCGUUAUUCGGAAUUAUUCCA